ensembl:processed_transcript Gm26974 predicted gene, 26974
UGCACAUUCCAUAAUCAAGCUUAGCCCCUUCACCUGUUUGGUUUUCCUCUCUGCUUAUGAGCUGCUGCUUAUCAACUCUGGUACCCAAGAGGGUCUCAUCUGACUCAGCGAACUGGGUACUCUAUAUCACUUAAAAAACAAAACAAAACAAAACAAAACAACAAAAACAUUCUCUUGAACUUUUUUUUAUGGCUUCCAAGUUUUUGAGCCCUGGAAAGUCUCUUUAGUACAGAUCUUUUUCUCAUAUCCUGCUUUAACAAACAGAAAGACAGCAUCCCCCCCCCCCCCCCCAGCUCAUCCUCUCUUACACAAUGCACUUUGCCACUGUGCAGUCACCUCAGCCUAAAACACAUGUUUUAUUUCUUUCCUACACACAGCAGUGGACACCACCACAACCUCUAUGGCAGCCUGUGGACACUCUCAUUCCUAAUAUGUUGCUCUUACAAACUGAAAAUUUUAUUUUAAAUCAUAAGUUUAUCAGAACACCUCUGUACCCACAUACCAGAAUGCAUUCACCAAACUGGCAUGCCACUCUGUGAAGAAGACAGCAUCACCAGGAUUUCCCAUACACCACUCACCCAGACUUCCCACUGGAUAAAUGCUGCCUGUGCUCUGGACCCUACCUGCCCUUGUGGGGUUAGAGAGCCUCUAAUUGGGAGGAAGAUCCACAUGGCCAGGCUGGGAUGCAAGUGUUGCCUAUGAAACUGUCCAUGCCAGAGCCCAAGCUGAAGAGAGGCACAAAGGAGAUGUCUGGAGAUGUCUGCUCUGGGAAGUCCUCCACUCUGGAGAUGUCUGUGCUGGGCAGCCCUCCAUUCUGAAGAUAUCUGUGCUGAGCAGUCCUCCAUUCUGGAGGGUGUGCUGGAGCAGCGGCAGCAAAACUCUGUGUCUAACAUGAUAAAAAAGGCUUUAAUAAAAUCAUUUAAUCUAAAAUCCAA